GCAGAGCUCAGUGGUAGAGUGUUUGCCUGGCAUGCACAAAGUCCUGGGUUCAGACCCCAGCAUUGCA
rnacentral:tRNA from 1 species